CCUGCUCAAUGAAUUAUUAAAUAGCCGCAAUUUGUGCUAAGGUAGCAUAAUAACUUGUUUCUUAAUUAGAAAAUAGAAUGAAAGAAUAAACGUUUUUAUUCUAUCUUUAAUAUUAAAUAUUAAAAUUAUAAUAAAGAUAAAAAUAUUCUUAUAAAAAAGGAAGACGACAAGACCCUAUGAACUUACCUAAUAGAUUAACUGGGGAAGUUAAUUAAUAAUUAUUUAAAUUAAAAUUUACAAUAAAAGCUAAAUAGAAUAUAAUUAAAGUUACCAUAGGGAUAACAGCGUUAUAUACAUUUAAAGUUCUUAUAAAAAUGUAAAAUUUGCGACCUCGAUGUUGAAUUAAUAUUUCUUUUUUAAGAAUAAUUUUAAAAAGAAAGUCUGUUCGACUUUUAAAAUAUUACAU
rnacentral:rRNA from 1 species